GCAUAUCAAUAAGCGGAGGAAAAGAAAAUAACAAUGAUUCCCUUAGUAACGGCGAGUGAAGAGGGAUAAGCUCAAACUUUAAAUCUGUCUGGUUAUACUAAACAGAGUUGUAAUUUGAAGAAACGUUUUCUGCGUCUUGAAUUAUCCUAAAUCCUUUGGGAUAAGGUAUCAUGGAGGGUGACAAUCCCGUUCAUGGUUAAUUCUAAGGUGCUUUACGAUCCGUUUUCCAAGAGUCGAGUUGUUUGGGAUUGCAGCUCAAAAUGGGAGGUAAAUUUCUCCUAAAGCUAAAUAUUGGCGAGAGACCGAUAGCGAACAAGUACCGUGAGGGAAAGAUGAAAAGAACUUUGAAAAGAGAGUUAAACAGUACGUGAAAUUGUUGAAAGGGAAACGAUUGAAGUCAGUCGUACCAACGGGAAAUCAACCUUUGGGGCGUUAAUUUUCGUUCUUUGGGCGUACUUUCUCGUACGGUAGGUUAACAUCGAUUUUGAACAUUAUAAAAUGACCGGAGGAAUGUAGCUUCGAUCUCGUAUUGAAGUGUUAUAGCCUUUGGUAGAUGUAAUGAUCAAGAUCGAGGAUUGCAACGAAUACCCUUUUGGGCUAUCCGUCUGAUCUCUAAUACGUUACCUUGGUGACGAAAGCGUGCUUUCGGCAUUAAGGUGAACGAUUAAAAGGUUAGAACGUGAUUAAAUUCGUUAAGGAUGUUGACGUA
rnacentral:rRNA from 1 species